rnacentral:rRNA from 1 species
GAUGAACGCUGGCGGCGUGCCUAAUACAUGCAAGUCGAGCGAACAGACGAGGAGCUUGCUCCUCUGACGUUAGCGGCGGACGAGUGAGUAACACGUGGAUAACCUACCUAUAAGACUGGGAUAACUUCGGGAAACCGGGGCUAAUACCGGAUAAUAUAUUGAACCGCAUGGUUCAAUAGUGAAAGACGGUUUUGCUGUCACUUAUAGAUGGAUCCGCGCCGCAUUAGCUAGUUGGUAAGGUAACGGCUUACCAAGGCAACGAUGCGUAGCCGACCUGAGAGGGUGAUCGGCCACACUGGAACUGAGACACGGUCCAGACUCCUACGGGAGGCAGCAGUAGGGAAUCUUCCGCAAUGGGCGAAAGCCUGACGGAGCAACGCCGCGUGAGUGAUGAAGGUCUUCGGAUCGUAAAACUCUGUUAUUAGGGAAGAACAAAUGUGUAAGUAACUAUGCACGUCUUGACGGUACCUAAUCAGAAAGCCACGGCUAACUACGUG